AUCGCAUUAAUAGUGCUUUCUCUCUCCCUCCUUAUUUGGGGUCUGGCUUGCUUUUUUCCUGUUGGUUGGCUUCAUGUAGGGGCCUCUGUGAGUGGUGACAGCUCUGAGCCCUUUGGGGUGGGUGGAUGGUCACCCCUCUUCCUCCAUCUCCCCAGAAUAACUUCAUCAACCUGAGCUUUCUCCGCCUCUUCCGAGCUGCCCGGCUCAUCAAACUUCUCCGUCAGGGUUACACCAUCCGCAUUCUUCUCUGGACCUUUGUGCAAUCCUUCAAGGCCCUGCCUUAUGUCUGUCUGCUGAUCGCCAUGCUCUUCUUCAUCUAUGCCAUCAUUGGGAUGCAGGUGUUUGGUAACAUUGGCAUCGACGUGGAGGACGAGGACAGUGAUGAAGAUGAGUUCCAAAUCACUGAGCACAAUAACUUCCGGACCUUCUUCCAGGCCCUCAUGCUUCUCUUCCGGUGAGAAGGGGACCUGCUCUGAUAAUUCUGUUUCCAUGGAGUGGGGUGCCUGCCUUCAUCCUUCUGUUCCCAUAGAGGAUGUACCCUCUUCUUCCAAUGGAAGACGUGCCUUC
rnacentral:sRNA from 1 species